GACAGAGGUGCCGAGCGUUAGGCGGAAUCACUGGGCUUAAAGCGUGUGUAGGCGGACCGUUAAGUGUCUUGUGAAAUCCCACGGCUCAACCGUGGAACGGCUGGGCAUACUGGCGGUCUUGAGAGGCCUAGGGGCGAGCGGAACAGGCGGUGGAGCGGUGAAAUGCGUAGGUAUCGCCUGGAACGCCGACGGUGAAAACAGCUCGCUGGGGGCCUUCUGACGCUGAGACACGAAAGCCAGGGGAGCGAACGGG
rnacentral:rRNA from 1 species